GCUACCAUGCAGUCGAACGAUGAUGGAGAGCUUGCUCUUCGGAUUAGUGGCGAACGGGUGAGUAACACGUGAGCAAUCUGCCCUUGACUCUGGGAUAAGCGUUGGAAACGACGUCUAAUACCGGAUACGACCCUUGGAGGCAUCUCCGGGGGGUGGAAAGAAUUUUGGUCAGGGAUGAGCUCGCGGCCUAUCAGCUAGUUGGUGAGGUAAUGGCUCACCAAGGCGACAACGGGUAGCCGGCCUGAGAGGGUGACCGGCCACACUGGGACUGAAACACGGCCCAAACUCCUACGGGAGGCAGCAGUGGGGAAUAUUGCACAAUGGGCGAAAGCCUGAUGCAGCAACGCCGCGUGAGGGACGACGGCCUUCGGGUUGUAAACCUCUUUUAGUAGGGAAGAAGCGAAAGUGACGGUACCUGCAAAAAAAGCACCGGCUAACUACGUGCCAGCAGCCGCGGUAAUACGUAGGGUGCAAGCGUUGUCCGGAAUUAUUGGGCGUAAAGAGCUCGUAGGCGGUUUGUCGCGUCUGCUGUGAAAACCCGAGGCUCAACCUCGGGCCUGCAGUGGGUACGGGCAGACUAAAGUGCGGUAGGGGAGAUUGGAAUUCCUGGUGUAGCGGUGGAAUGCGCAAAUAU
rnacentral:rRNA from 1 species